GACGAACGCUGGCGGCGUGCUUAACACAUGCAAGUCGAACGGAAAGGCCCUGCUUUUGUGGGGUGCUCGAGUGGCGAACGGGUGAGUAACACGUGAGUAACCUGCCCUUGACUUUGGGAUAACUUCAGGAAACUGGGGCUAAUACCGGAUAGGAGCUCCUGCUGCAUGGUGGGGGUUGGAAAGUUUCGGCGGUUGGGGAUGGACUCGCGGCUUAUCAGCUUGUUGGUGGGGUAGUGGCUUACCAAGGCUUUGACGGGUAGCCGGCCUGAGAGGGUGACCGGCCACAUUGGGACUGCGAUACGGCCCAGACUCCUACGGGAGGCAGCAGUGGGGAAUAUUGCACAAUGGGCGGAAGCCUGAUGCAGCAGCCCCGCGUGCGGGAUGACGGCCUUCGGGUGGUAAACCGCUUUCGCCUGUGACGAAGCGUGUGUGACGGUAAUGGGUAAAGAAGCACCGGCUAACUACGUG
rnacentral:rRNA from 1 species